CAGUAGCCGCGGGAAUACGGAGGGGGCUAGCGUUGUUCGGAAUUACUGGGCGUAAAGCGCACGUAGGCGGCUUUGUAAGUUAGAGGUGAAAGCCCGGAGCUCAACUCCGGAAUUGCCUUUAAGACUGCAGAGCUAGCAGGUGAGAGAGGUGAGUGGAAUUCCGAGUGUAGAGGUGAAAUUCGUAGAUAUUCGGAAGAACACCAGUGGCGAAGGCGGCUCACUGGCUCAUACUGGACGCUGAGGUGCGAAAGCGUGGGGAGCAAACAGGAUUAGAUACCCGCGUAGUCCCUGUCUCUUAUAC
rnacentral:rRNA from 1 species